rnacentral:rRNA from 1 species
UACGAAGGGGGGCUAGCGUUGCUCGGAAUCACUGGGCGUAAAGGGCGCGUAGGCGGCGUUUUAAGUCGGGGGGUAAAGCCUGUGGCUCAACCACAGAAUGGCCUUCGAUACUGGGACGCUUGAGUAUGGUAGAGGUUGGUGGAACUGCGAGUGUAGAGGUGAAAUUCGUAGAUAUUCGCAAGAACACCGGUGGCGAAGGCGGCCAACUGGACCAUUACUGACGCUGAGGCGCGAAAGCGUGGGGAGCAAACAGG